ACGGCUUUACUACAUUAAGACACUGAUUCUAGUUCGAUCACCGAAGUUAAGCAAUGUCGGACUCGGUCAAUACUUGGGAGGAUGGCAACAUAGGAAACACCAGGUGCUAUAGGCU